GGCGCAUUGGUCAAGAGGUCAGGACGUCGCCCUCUCACGGCGGAAUCCAGGGUUCGAUUCCCUGAUGCGCUACCA
rnacentral:tRNA from 1 species